rnacentral:lncRNA from 10 species
CACGUUUACAUUCGAAGACUAAAAACCACUGUGGUGAGUAGGAAAUGCCCCUCCCCAGAGAUGACUCCCAAGCCCUCAUUCCCAGACCUGUGACUGUGUUGCCUUACAUUGCAGAUGUACUCCGCAGAUGUGAUUAAAUUCAGGAGCUCGACAUGAAGGGAUUAACCUGUCUUAUCUGGGUGCUGUGUAGAGUAUGAUCCGAGACACAGUCAUCCUUGUGCUAAGGUCAGCCUGUUUGCAGCAGCAAAACCCAGAUCUGUGGUGAUGUCAACUGCAUGAAUCCUGCCAUUGGGUAAUUUUAAAGACCUUGUGUAACUUCGAAGACCUUGCGUACUACUCCUAAUGUGAGGAUGAAGUUAUUCUGUUCCAACUCCAGUGCUAGAAUCAUAAUGUUGCUUCUUAUGGAAAGUACAAUUUAAGAACUGUGUCUUAGGUUAAAUAAACAGAAUCUAGGAUACCUUUAUAGACUAUCUAUGAUAGGUUACUGGGUGAGCUUUUAUUUUUUAACUGUCUGGAGAUGGGGUAGGGAACAGAAACA